UUUCCUACUACUACUACUACUACUACUACUACUAUUAUACGUUGCACAUUUAAAAAAAAAGGAAAUACCAGUUCAUUGAUUAGUAGGCAAUGGCCGUAGCCCUAUAUAAGGAGCCCUCCACUCACUUCUUCCCAAUCCCAACACCAUUAUUAUCUCUCACUCUCAUUCUAUCACAAGAAACAUGGGUCAUCACUCCCUUUGGAGUCUCUCAUUAGGGCUGCUGAUGCUCUUCGCCGGAGCACUAGCGGCUGCACCUAGAAAAGCGGUGGAUGUUCCCUUCGGCAGAAACUACGUCCCAACUUGGGCUUUUGACCACAUCAAAUACCUCAAUGGUGGCUCUGAGAUCCAGCUCGUUCUUGACAAAAACACUGGUAUGUACUACAGUAUGCCUCUGUGUGUGUGUGAUGUUGUGUGAAAGAGAGAGAGAGAGACAGAGACACAGACAGAGGCAGCCUCAGGUCAACAUCACAUGAUAUCUCACUUUUGUGGCUGCUGAUUUAUUUCUAUAUACUCUAUGUGUCUCUCUAUCUGUAUGGUCUGAUUCUGAUUUGUUUAUGUAUGAAUAUGGAGCAAGCAUUGUCUUGAUGUUGAUUUUAGAUUGUGAGCCCCAUCGUUAUAUGAAAUUCCAAGAUGUUUGAUUUCUUUUAUUUCAUGUAUUGUGUCCUGACAAAAGUUUUUCUUAUUUAAUUUUGAGUGCUACACUUUUCACCUCAAAUUAGCCGUCGGUGGCGGGACCAGCUCGAUGCCAGCAAUGCACUGUCUUGUGGUUAGCAUAAGAAAGAAAGCACAAGUAAAGUCGCAAUUGGUGACUGACGAGCCAACCCAGGCAGGGGUAGUGUGGUACAGCAUGCAAUAUGCAAUCAAUUGGGGUCAGGCAGGCAACCACUUGCAUUCAAAAAGGACAAUUUGUAUUUUGGACAUAAUAAUUUUAUUCUACUUAAUUAAAGUAA